rnacentral:rRNA from 1 species
GAUGAACGCUGGCGGCGUGCCUAAUACAUGCAAGUCGAGCGAACAGACGAGGAGCUUGCUCCUCUGACGUUAGCGGCGGACGGGUGAGUAACACGUGGAUAACCUACCUAUAAGACUGGGAUAACUUCGGGAAACCGGAGCUAAUACCGGAUAAUAUAUUGAACCGCAUGGUUCAAUAGUGAAAGACGGUUUUGCUGUCACUUAUAGAUGUAUCCGCGCCGCAUGAGCUAGUUGGUAAGGUAACGGCUUACCAAGGCAACGAUGCGGAGCCGAUCUGAGAGGGUGAUCGGCCACACUGGAACUGAGACACGGUCCAGACUCCUACGGGAGGCAGCAGAAGGGAAUCUUCGGCAAUGGGCGAAAGCUUGACGGAGCAACGCCGCGUGAGUGAUGAAGGUCUUCGGAUCGUAAAACUCUGUUAUUAGGGAAGAACAAAUGUGUAAGUAACUAUGCACGUCUUGACGGUACCUAAUCAGAAAGCCACGGCUAACUACGUG